rnacentral:lncRNA from 1 species
GGACAUCAUUGUGCAGUGGCAGCCGUCCCAAACUGUUUUGCAUCGCUAACACCCACCUUAUCUAUCAGGAGCUUCAAGAUUUAGGUUAGGUGCCAUCUAACCCACCUUGGGGGAUGGAGGCUUCUUCAGCAAUAUGUUCUUGGUCUGGAGUAUAGUCUUCGACCGCUGAUCAACCUGUUGGAUGUCGCUCACGUUGUUUACUCUGAUUUCAAGGGAUUUGCUUCAAGACAGUGACUGGUUUACACGCCUAGACUUAAAGCAUGCCUACCUCGCCAUCCCAGUUCAUGUCAACAACCAUGUACUCCUUCGAUUCCUUAAGACUUAGCUCAGCCCCUUGCUGCAUCACAAAGAUCCUAAAGCCGGUGGUCACCCAUCUUCGGGCUUACAUGGUUUGCUGCUUAAUUUAUCUGAAGGAUGAGACUGAGGCACCAAACCUAAUAUACGGUGAAUCUACUGAAAUCUCUAGGUUUCAUAGUGAAUCAGUCCAUAUCCACGCUGGUUUCCUCACAGACGGUUCAGUUCCUAGGUUCAACGUUGUGUACUCUGAGACACCUACCUCGGAAAUCUCUUCUAUUCGCAAGGAGUUUUGCAGGGUUCUCCAUGACAACUCCAUCAUGCUCUGCCUGUUCGCAUGGGUCAUGGGACUUUUGUCUUCCUCAGUUCAGGCAAUCUUCCCAGGUCCACUGCACGACUGAAGGCAAAGUUCCUCGGUAAGAAUCCCACUUAUGACCAACAGGUCCCGGUGAUGAACAAGAUGAUGAUGGAACAGCAGUGGUGGCUCGACAGCAUGCAGGCUGGAAUAGAUGGGCCAUAUUUGUCAAUCACCCAGACUUCAUACUUUUGGGCUGGGAUGCGAUAAACUGAGGUCGGUCUACCGAAGAGGUGUGGAACUCUCUACGCACAUUAAUUACUUGGAGUUUCUGGCGCGAUAGUUCACAAUCUGGCAAAGGGGAGGUUCAGCUGCUGCAUCUUGCUCCGGGUGGAAAUGUUUCCACAGUGUGUUACCUCAAUAAACUUGAUGGCAAGCGUUCCCACAUUCUGUCGGACCUCACAAAGAUGAUUUAGAUUUUUGUCUUCCCCGCAACAUCAUUGAAGACGGAAUGUCUGCCGGGAGAGACCAACCUCAUGACAAAUAGUUUCUCUCACCAUUGGAGGGACAGCGAUUGGAAGCUGAACCCUCUAAGGUUCGCUCUUAGAACAGUUACUAAAUUCGAGAAUUCUUCAGCUGGCUACCAGUCCAGAGAGCAAAGUGGUAAACCAGUUUCUUCAGACUUAGAUGGUCCGCAGAGCCUACGCUAUUUCUCCCUUCGCGAUGAUUGUGAGGGUCCUUCAUCCUGCCCGGCUGCAACAGGAAACAAUAACUCUGGUUGUUUUUUAUGUGACAGAGCCAACAUUGGUUCCCAGACUUUCUGGAAUUGUCUUGCAAAUACCCACUUCUCCUACCGUCAUACCUGAUGCUCCUCAUGGACCCGUUGCUCCUAGAAGAGCACUUUACGGGAUCCCUGGCAGGUCAGUGAACUAUCACAAGCUGCCAGCUCCUUGGCCUCUAGUACAAGACGGUAUUACCACUCCGCAUGGAAUUCAUGACGGAUUGGUGUGUGGAAUGGGGUAUAAAUCCAUUUACAGCCUGUUUCCUCAAUCAUGAACUUUCUCUCCUCAUUCGGUGUGC